rnacentral:rRNA from 1 species
UCGCCAGACUCCUACGGGAGGCAGCAGUGGGGGAUAUUGCGCAAUGGGGGAAACCCUGACGCAGCAACGCCGCGUGAAGGAAGAAGGCCUUCGGGUUGUAAACUUUUGUCGCAAGGGAAGAAGACAGUGACGGUACCUUGUGAGGAAGCCACGGCUAACUACGUGCCAGCAGCCGCGGUAAUACGUAGGUGGCGAGCGUUGUCCGGAUUUACUGGGUGUAAAGGGCGCGUAGGCGGAUCAGCAAGUCAGUCGUGAAAUACCGGGGCUCAACCCCGGGGCUGCGAUUGAAACUGUUGACCUUGAGUGUCGGAGAGGAAAGCGGAAUUCCUAGUGUAGCGGUGAAAUGCGUAGAUAUUAGGAGGAACACCAGUGGCGAAGGCGGCUUUCUGGACGAUAACUGACGCUGAGGCGCGAAAGUGUGGGGAGCAAACAGGAUUAGAUACCCGUGUA